CAACGAUUCAAAAUGUUUGGCUACAAAUACAUCACCGACGAGAUCUCCAUUUGCAUCUUUAUACUUUGGUCUCUCCAACUUCUUCUUUCCUUUCUGAGUCUUCCCAAUUUCUUUGUUCCAUUGCUAGGGUUUUCUAUUGAAAAGCUCCUGCAAUUGUGGUCCUGCAUUUGUCCAUUUCCAUUGUGUCAUCGCAAUUGUGCCUUUAGAUUUUCUGUCGAAGAACAACUGGCAUUGUGGUAUUGCAUUUGUGCUUUCUCAUUGUGCAGCCGAUUGUUGGUUUAUGGUUUGCUAUAACGGGAAAAAGGAAAUCAUAGAUGGUUGUUCGCAUUGAUUUUCUGUAUCGGUCAAAAAAAGCCUUUGCUCAGUGUUGAAGUUGGUGGACAGCUAUCACAUCAAAUUGCUAAGAGAUUUGGAGCAAUUGUGAGGAGAAGCUCUGCUGGGAAUAUUUGUAAUAUGGUACGCAAUUGUUUAGUAGUAGUAUGCAACGCUUGUCAAUAUUUUCAUAUAAAUGUAUUUGAUUUAUGUAUGUAUUAUAUGUGAAAUUGUUUCGCUUCUGGAAAUACGUGAUGCAUUUGAUUUGUAGCUUGUUAUUUGUAUCGAUGAUUUGCUUUGGCAAUGAAAUUGAUCUAUUCGUGC